CUGAACCAGCCAAGUAGCGUGAAGGAUGACUGCCCUAUGGGUUGUAAACUUCUUUUAUAAAGGAAUAAAGUCGGGUAUGGAUACCCGUUUGCAUGUACUUUAUGAAUAAGGAUCGGCUAACUCCGUGCCAGCAGCCGCGGUAAUACGGAGGAUCCGAGCGUUAUCCGGAUUUAUUGGGUUUAAAGAGAGCGUAGAUGGAUGUUUAAGUCAGUUGUGAAAGUUUGCGG
rnacentral:rRNA from 1 species